GCUUGCUCCUGGAUUCAGCGGCGGACGGGUGAGUAAUGCCUAGGAAUCUGCCUGGUAGUGGGGGAUAACGUCCGGAAACGGGCGCUAAUACCGCAUACGUCCUGAGGGAGAAAGUGGGGGAUCUUCGGACCUCACGCUAUCAGAUGAGCCUAGGUCGGAUUAGCUAGUUGGUGGGGUAAAGGCCUACCAAGGCGACGAUCCGUAACUGGUCUGAGAGGAUGAUCAGUCACACUGGAACUGAGACACGGUCCAGACUCCUACGGGAGGCAGCAGUGGGGAAUAUUGGACAAUGGGCGAAAGCCUGAUCCAGCCAUGCCGC
rnacentral:rRNA from 1 species